UACAGAGGGUGCAAGCGUUAUUCGGAAUUACUGGGCGUAAAGCGCGUGUAGGUGGCGAUGUAAGUCGGGUGUGAAAGCCCUUGGCUUAACCAAGGAAGUGCACUCGAUACUGCGUCGCUUGAGUAUCGGAGGGGGUGGCGGAAUUCCCGGUGUAGAGGUGAAAUUCGUAGAUAUCGGGAGGAACACCUGUGGCGAAGGCGGCCACCUGGACGAUCACUGACACUGAGACGCGAAAAGCGUGGGUAGCAAAAC
rnacentral:rRNA from 1 species